UACGUAGGUGGCAAGCGUUGUCCGGAUUUACUGGGCGUAAAGCGCCCGCAGGCGGCUUGUUAAGUUCAAGGUGAAAUCUCCCGGCUCAACCCAGAGACGCCACCCGAUACUGCUGUGACUUGAGUCCGGUAGGGGAGCGUGGAAUUCCUGGUGUAGCGGUGAAAUGCGCAGAUAUCAGGAGGAACACCAGCGGCGAAGGCGGCGCUCUGGGCCGGAACUGACGCUGAGGAGCGAAAGCGUGGGUAGCAAACAGG
rnacentral:rRNA from 1 species